rnacentral:rRNA from 1 species
UAGGAUUCCCUCAGUAGCUGCGAGCGAACAGGGAUUAGCCCAGCACCGAAUCCCGCGGCCGACACCGGACGCCGGGAAAUGUGGUGUUAGGGAGGAUCCGUUCAUCCCGAGGUCGUGCGGUGCGUCCAAGUCCUUCUUGAACGGGGCCACAGCCCAUAGAGGGUGCCAGGCCCGUAGUGACCGCUGCCGAUCGCGGGAGGAUCCCUCCUCAGAGUCGGGUUGCUUGAGAGUGCAGCCCUAAGUGGGUGGUAAACUCCAUCUAAGGCUAAAUAUGACCACGAGACCGAUAGCGAACAAGUACCGUGAGGGAAAGUUGAAAAGCACUUUGAAGAGAGAGUUCAAGAGUACGUGAAACCGUUCAGGGGUAAACCUGAGAAACCCGAAAGGUCGAAAGGGGAAAUUCAUUCGUGUCUCGACUGUCGGCGUGGAAUGGUCGCGUGACGGGUGGCGUCCGCGUUGCUCGCACCUUCCGUUUCACGAACCGGCUUCGAACGCGUGCACUUUUCCCCUAGUAGGACGUCGCGAUCCGUUGGGCGCCGGUCUAAGGCCUACGGUGGAGCCCGUUCGGACGGUUCGCCGUUCCGGGCGGACCCGUGGUGUUUCCCGGCCGGCUCGCUCGACGGUAUACAGAUGGCGCAGGGCCGCGACUUUAGUUCGCGUCCGGCCCGCGGCAAGCGCGCUCGGCGACUCGGCGAUCGGACCUGGUCCGGUCCUGAUCACGAGCGACUGUUGGCCGCGGUGUUCUCGGACAGUCUCCUUUGAAACGCCGAUCUGCGACGCUAUAGCUUUGGGUACUUUCAGGACCCGUCUUGAAACACGGACCAAGGAGUCUAGCAUGUGCGCGAGUCAUUGGGACAUGACUAAACCUAAAGGCACAAUGAAAGUGAAGGUCCGCCUUGCGCGGACCGAGGGAGGAUGGGUCGUUCACUUAACGGUGGCGGCUCCGCACUCCCGGGGCGUCUCGUUCUCAUUGCGAGAAGAGGCGCACCAAGAGCGUACACGCUGGGACCCGAAAGAUGGUGAACUAUGCCUGGUCAGGACGAAGUCAGGGGAAACCCUGAUGGAGGUCCGUAGCGAUUCUGACGUGCAAAUCGAUCGUCGGAACUGGGUAUAGGGGCGAAAGACUAAUCGAACCAUCUAGUAGCUGGUUCCCUCCGAAGUUUCCCUCAGGAUAGCUGGCGCUCGUAGCGCACGAGUCUCAUCCGGUAAAGCGAAUGAUUAGAGGCAUUGGGGUCGAAACGACCUCAACCUAUUCUCAAACUUUAAAUGGGUGAGAUCUCCGGCUUGCUCGAACUUAUGAAGCCGCGAGACACGGAUCAGAG